rnacentral:tRNA from 1 species
AGGAUAAUAGUUAAAGAUAAUAUUUGAUUUGCAUUCAAAAGAUGUUGAAUGAUUCAACUUAUCUU